GGCACACAGGUGUGGGAAAGGGAGGUUCCCAGAGUUCAGAGACCAGAGGCCCAAGGGAUGGCCUGCAUGUGGCGGUCCAGGAAAGCCUCAGCUACCAGCUCUGAGCCCCAGCAGCCUCCCCCAUGGGCCUAGGGUUCUAAGUGCCUAGUUUCCUGUAUGAAACCCUGAACUUAGCAAACACCAUGAUGAGUUUCCACCACCAAAACCCACAACCCCAAACCUGCUGAGUCUAAGGAGCGCCAAGGGGCCUCCUUGCUGAUCUGCUACAGGAGCUGCUGUUCAAAGAAAUCCUGACCCAGAAACCCAGCAUGAAGGCAGGCAGAGCAGGUCGCUGGUCUCAGGUGUCUGGGAGGAAAGAGGAGGCUCCGUGAGGAGCACACCUGAAAAAUCAUGGGUCUCGUCCAGCUGAUCCCAAGUUCCAAAGAACAUCAGCAUCACUCAAGGAGCUUUGUCCGAACUGCCCAUGGAAACUAGUUCAAUAAAAUUGUGGCAGAUCUGGAAAGUCA